UUACAUCGGAGAGUUUGAUCCUGGCUCAGGAUGAACGCUAGCGGGAGGCUUAACACAUGCAAGUCGAGCGGUAUUGACCUUCGGGUCGAGAGAGCGGCGCACGGGUGCGUAACGCGUAUGCAACCUGCCUUAUGCAGGGGGAUAGCCCGGGGAAACCCGGAUUAAUACCCCAUAGAUCAGUAGUAUCGCAUGGUACAGCUGGUAAAGAUUCAUCGGCAUAAGAUGGGCAUGCGUCUGAUUAGCUAGUUGGUAGGGUAACGGCCUACCAAGGCGACGAUCAGUAGGGGUUCUGAGAGGAUUAUCCCCCACACUGGUACUGAGACACGGACCAGACUCCUACGGGAGGCAGCAGUGAGGAAUAUUGGUCAAUGGGCGCAAGCCUGAACCAGCCAUCCCGCGUGAAGGAUGAAUGCCUUAUGGGUUGUAAACUUCUUUUGUACCUGAAGAAACUCUGGGUCGUGACCUGGACUGCCGGUAGGGUACGAAUAAGCAUCGGCUAACUCCGUGCCAGCAGCCGCGGUAAUACGGAGGAUGCAAGCGUUAUCCGGAUUUAUUGGGUUUAAAGGGUGCGCAGGUGGUUGAAUAAGUCAGUGGUGAAAGUCUGCCGCUUAACGGUAGGAUUGCCAUUGAUACUGUUUGACUUGAGUUUAGGUGAGGUAGGCGGAAUGUGUAGUGUAGCGGUGAAAUGCAUAGAUAUUACACAGAACACCGAUUGCGAAGGCAGCUUACUAAUCUACAACUGACACUGAGGCACGAAAGCGUGGGGAUCAAACAGGAUUAGAUACCCUGGUAGUCCACGCUGUAAACGAUGAUCACUCGCUGUUUGCGAUAUACAGUAAGCGGCUAAGCGAAAGCGAUAAGUGAUCCACCUGGGGAGUACGAUCGCAAGGUUGAAACUCAAAGGAAUUGACGGGGGCCCGCACAAGCGGAGGAACAUGUGGUUUAAUUCGAUGAUACGCGAGGAACCUUACCUGGGCUUAAAUGGGGAGUGACAGCUGGCGAAAGUUGGUUUUCUUCGGACACUCUUCAAGGUGCUGCAUGGUUGUCGUCAGCUCGUGCCGUGAGGUGUCGGGUUAAGUCCCAUAACGAGCGCAACCCUUACUGUUAGUUGCCAGCGGGUAGAGCCGGGAACUCUAACGGGACUGCCACCGUAAGGUGAGAGGAAGGUGGGGAUGACGUCAAAUCAGCACGGCCCUUAUGUCCAGGGCUACACACGUGUUACAAUGGCCGGUACAAAGGGCAGCUACACCGCGAGGUGAUGCUAAUCUCGAAAGCCGGUCUCAGUUCGGAUCGAAGUCUGCAACCCGACUUCGUGAAGUUGGAUUCGCUAGUAAUCGCGCAUCAGCCAUGGCGCGGUGAAUACGUUCCCGGGCCUUGUACACACCGCCCGUCAAGCCAUGGGAGCCGGGGGUACCUGAAGUCUGCAACCGCAAGGAGCGGCCUAGGGUAAAACUGGUGACUGGGGCUAAGUCGUAACAAGGUAGCCGUACCGGAAGGUGUGGCUGGAACACCUCCUUUCU
rnacentral:rRNA from 1 species